UACAGAGACUGCAAGCGUUAUUCGGAUUCACUGGGCGUAAAGGGUGCGCAGGCGGCCAAGUGUGUCAGGUGUGAAAUCCCGAGGCUUAACCUCGGAACUGCGCCUGAAACUACUUGGCUAGAGUACUGGAGAGGGUAACGGAAUUCACGGUGUAGCAGUGAAAUGCGUAGAUAUCGGGAGGAACACCAGUGGCGAAGGCGACUACCUGGCCUGUUCUUGACGCUGAGGCGCGAAAGCUAGGGGAGCAAACGGG
rnacentral:rRNA from 1 species